UUGGAUUGGUUUUGGAAUAGAUUAUAAUCUUCAACCAUGAUCCACUGCAUGAAGACAUUACCCAUUUUUGUUGCAUAUUUAUCUGUGUGCUCUGUUAAGGGGGACUCUGUUUCUCAACCUAAAGAUGAGAUGGGUCUGGAGGGCAGCAUGGUGACACUCAUCUGUCAGUAUGAGACCAAAGCCUCAGCUCUUAGUCAGUAUCUCUUCUGGUACCAGCAGAAACCAAACGGAUUCCCAAAAUAUAUUCUACUGAAAACGUCUAUUAGUCAAGAGAAUGACCCAGAUUUUAAAAGGAGAUUCAAUGCUACACUCAACACAGACACAAAAACUGUUAAUCUGACCAUCCAGGAUCUGCAAGUGUCUGACUCUGCUGUGUACUACUGUGCUCUGAGGCCCACAGUGACAGCUGCAGACUCAGCUCUGAUACAAAAACUGUCUUAGUCAAGAGACACCUGAAAGUUGCAAUGAUACAAAUGUGGCUUAUCCACUGAAUUUAUUA